rnacentral:rRNA from 1 species
GGACUCAACAGUUUCCUUCGGGAAACCGUUAGGUUAGCGGCGGACGGGUGAGUAAUACGUAGGUAACCUGCCCUUAAGACCGGGAUAACUCACGGAAACGUGGGCUAAUACCGGAUAGGCGAUUUCCUCGCAUGAGGGAAUCGGGAAAGGCGGAGCAAUCUGCCGCUUAUGGAUGGACCUACGGCGCAUUAGCUAGUUGGUGGGGUAACGGCUCACCAAGGCGACGAUGCGUAGCCGACCUGAGAGGGUGAUCGGCCACACUGGGACUGAGACACGGCCCAGACUCCUACGGGAGGCAGCAGUAGGGAAUCUUCCGCAAUGGACGCAAGUCUGACGGAGCAACGCCGCGUGAGUGAUGAAGGUUUUCGGAUCGUAAAGCUCUGUUGCCAGGGAAGAACGCUAUGGAGAGUAACUGUUCCAUAGGUGACGGUACC